rnacentral:rRNA from 1 species
AGAGUUUGAUCCUGGCUCAGGACGAACGCUGGCGGCGUGCUUAACACAUGCAAGUCACGGGGGUCCGCAAGGACAACCGGCGAACGGGUGCGUAACACGUGAACAACCUGCCCUCGGUGUGGGGGAUAGCCGGGCUAACGCCCGGGUAAUACCGCAUACGUUCUCGGUUGGGGAGUCCUGACGAGAGGAAAGCUCCGGCGCACGGGGAGGGGUUCGCGGCCUAUCAGCUUGUUGGCGGGGUAAUGGCCCACCAAGGCGACGAUCUGUAGCUGGUCUGAGAGGACGACCAGCCACACUGGAACUGAGACACGGUCCAGACUCCUACGGGAGGCAGCAGUGGGGAAUUUUGGACAAUGGGCGCAAGCCUGAUCCAGCAAUGCCGCGUGCAGGAUGAAGGCCUUCGGGUUGUAAACUGCUUUUGUACGGAACGAAACGGCGAGCUCUAAUAAAGUUCGCUAAUGACGGUACCGUAAGAAUAAGCACCGGCUAACUACGUGCCAGCAGCCGCGGUAAUACGUAGGGUGCAAGCGUUAAUCGGAAUUACUGGGCGUAAAGCGUGCGCAGGCGGUGAUGUAAGACAGAUGUGAAAUCCCCGGGCUCAACCUGGGACCUGCAUUUGUGACUGCAUCNCUAGAGUACGGUAGAGGGGGAUGGAAUUCCGCGUGUAGCAGUGAAAUGCGUAGAUAUGCGGAGGAACACCGAUGGCGANGGCAAUCCCCUGGANCUGUA